GAGCCCCUUUGAUGCCCAGCACUGGGCUCUGACUUCCCUUGAAGACAUGGUGUCCCCUGCCCCCCCCCCCCCCGGACCUUUGAUACCUGGGGAUCUGAGGGGCCU